rnacentral:lncRNA from 1 species
GUAGAAAUUGUAUAUAAAUGAGUAGUAGGAGUCCAUACUACUACCAUAGGAUUACAUUGUAUACUUUUCGAAUAUCAAUAUAAGUUGACAGUUAAGUUUUAAAAAAAAAAAAAAAUUAUUCCUUUCUCCAAGUGAACUAGAAUAUGGGAACAAGUUAAGCCCAAAUUUCAAGGGUGGGUAGAUACCCCCAAACCCACGAACCAAGGAUCGAAUCCCUGCCUCGCACCUGGUACAAAUGAAUCAAUGGAGCCUGAAUAAAUCUGUAACGAUGAAUAAGCAGAUUAUGAUAAAGAAAUGCAAGAUUUUGAAACUUUAACCCCAAUGACAUGCUGUAUAUCCUUUUGAAACAUUCACACUUAAAAUAGACACCUGGUAUUUGAAGCUACUAAUUAGUCAUUCUCAUACCACACUCAAUACAUAAGAGCUUAAAUAUGCAAUGAUCAUCGAACAUGUGACUUCCUACUUGAAUUACAACCCCCAAAACUAUGCAAACUUAGAAUCAAAUCCUAGAAAAAAAAAACUUAAAGCAGUGUAAUCAUGCUACAUACUAAUAAUGAAAUGGAAUUCAAACAUUAACUUAAAAGAAUUUAACCAAACCAUCAUGAUAAGCCCUAACUGAUUUAAACCUACACUACAGAAGCAUUCACAUCUUUUAACUGUUCAAAUACAAAGUCCUUCGACUUAAUUACAGAACCACAUAAUGAACUAGAAGCCUAAAACAUACUUUUGAAUAUGAAAAAUAAGAGUAUCAACACAGUGGAAUGGAAAACCCAUGAAAGAGCUCAAAUUAUCAGAAAGACAAGGAAAAACUCUAUCUGAACAGGGACUAAUAUUCAAUAAAGUUGAGAUUCAUUCUCAGAUCUUCCACUUUGGUUACAUAUUUUUAGAUUUGAACUCCAUAUAUCACUUAAAAAGUCAAGGAUAUGCCUGGAAAGCCAAACAAACAGAAAAUGAGGAAUCAGCCUUGAACAGUAGCAGCCAGAAGCUAACUCAAACUUGGCAAUCAACAAUCAACAAUCAACAGUGAAAUCAGCUUGCAAAACCAAUGGAACAGUAACCACCCAACAUAAUUCAACCCAAAACUUUUAAAAAUUCAAAUUUAAACCAUCUCAAUCUCGGAGAGAAUUAGAAAAUGUUUCAAUGAUUGAAAACUUCAAAACUCAAGCAGAGAAAUCAAUGGAACAAUUUUUUAGAUUUUCAGCUGUUGGUAUUUUUUUCAGAAUUUUAUCUCAUCCUCCCUUAAUUUUUCAGCAAAGUCAUCCUUUUAUACAUGGUGUUAGGGCAGCAGAAAUAGAUUUCAACUUUUGCUCUUUUACCCUUCUCCAAUUUUCAGUUUUGCUCCUUCAUCCAUCAAAUUUUGGCUUGCUUGUCAAGUAACGCUCUUUUUCUGCUUCUAGGAAGCUUCCUUGACAGUUAUUUGAGAGAUUCCCUACACCAUUUUCCUAAACUAACCUCCAUACCCCUAUUAUUUACCCUUAAAUCCAACCUGGGUCAACUGACCAAACUAAUGGGUCUGUAUAGACCCAAAUCGAUUCCCUCCUAUGCCCCUUUUGAGGCUUUUGAAUUUUUAGAAGACCAAUUAGAAUCAAAUAAAGAAAUCCUAAUUUAAGGACUAACCCAAAGUUCCCGAAUGAAGAGCCCUUGAAACCCUUUAAAAUGCAACCAAAUAGUGACGAAGGCACAUGAAUCAAUUAUCUUAGUUUAAAAGCAAAAAGUUAACUAAAUUAAACCUAUUUAAACUAGCUAACUGAAAAUUACGACACAGAAACCUAAUUAUGUUUAAAAGGAUUAAAAAAAAGAAAUAAAAAUACAGAAAUGCAUUUCACAAAGUUGAACGGAUACAUGAGAAAAAUAAAAAUAAAAAUGGUGAAUAGGAGAAAAAGAAAAAUUGAACUCAGAGGUGAAUCAGAUUUAAUGAAAGGGAAAGAGGAGGAUAAUAGGAUAGUGAUAGAAAGUAAACACAAAAGGGAAAUGGACUUACUGGAUUGAACCUCGAAACCAGUCGGAGACAAAAGACAUAACCAAACUUAUGUCACCCCUUUGUUCUUUGUCAAGAAAAACUGAAUCGACAUCAGUUUGGUCAAGUCUAGACCUCAAAGUUUGAGAGAAUAGCAUCCUAUGGUCUUGCAUGCUACCAGACUCGAAAACAAACAACUUCGAACUUCUAAAGGUCAAAUUCGAAUUCAAGAUUCGAAGGGUUCGAAAUUGAUUUGAGGGAAAGGGGUUUGGUAUUUGGGAUGGAGAGGUGGAGAGGGUUCUAGGGUGUACAUUUGGGACUGUUUGGUGGUGGUGUGUGGAGAAAAGGGGCGGCGGGCUAGGGUUCGGGGAAGAUGGGUCUCUGAAGGGAGAGGAGAAGUGAGGGAGACGAUAUGGGCGGGGGGGGGUUAGUGGAGUUCAGACAGUCUUAUAUUGUCCCUACCUCUGGUUCCCAUCCGUUGAUUUCCAUGGA